UACGUAGGGUGCAAGCGUUAAUCGGAAUUACUGGGCGUAAAGCGUGCGCAGGCGGUUUUGUAAGUCUGUCGUGAAAUCCCCGGGCUCAACCUGGGAAUUGCGAUGGAGACUGCAAGGCUAGAAUCUGGCAGAGGGGGGUAGAAUUCCACGUGUAGCAGUGAAAUGCGUAGAGAUGUGGAGGAACACCGAUGGCGAAGGCAGCCCCCUGGGUCAAGAUUGACGCU
rnacentral:rRNA from 1 species